rnacentral:rRNA from 1 species
UAUGAAGGGGGCUAGCGUUGCUCGGAAUCACUGGGCGUAAAGGGUGCGUAGGCGGGUUUUUAAGUCAGGGGUGAAAUCCUGGAGCUCAACUCCAGAACUGCCUUUGAUACUGGCGAUCUCGAGUCCGGGAGAGGUGAGUGGAACUGCGAGUGUAGAGGUGAAAUUCGUAGAUAUUCGCAAGAACACCAGUGGCGAAGGCGGCUCACUGGCCCGGUACUGACGCUGAGGUGCGAAAGCGUGGGGAGCAAACAGG